rnacentral:rRNA from 1 species
UACGUAGGGGGCAAGCGUUGUCCGGAAUCAUUGGGCGUAAAGAGCGCGUAGGCGGUCCGGUAAGUCCGCUCUGAAAGCCCGGGGGCUCAACCCCGGGAGGCGGGCGGAUACUGUCGGGCUAGAGUCCGGAAGAGGCGAGUGGAAUUCCUGGUGUAGCGGUGAAAUGCGCAGAUAUCAGGAGGAACACCGAUGGCGAAGGCAGCUCGCUGGGACGGUACUGACGCUGAGGCGCGAAAGCGUGGGGAGCAAACAGG